UUCCAUGGGAUACAAACACACUUGUCUUCUUUGCAAUCAAGCACAUGAAGGGCCCUAAACAUCUUCACACUACUUGAUCGAUUAGACCAACCCCUGGUGAUCCAUCUCAAGGAGAAAAUUAACUGUCCUACAGCAGAUUUAUAGUGAGAAGGAUAAAUUUUCACUAUGAUAUUGAAUGACAAAGGGUACAAAAUUACACAGAAUUACAAUUCUGAAAUUAAAUAUAGAAAGAACCACCAAAGGCUAGCCAGAACGUUAAGAGCAGAUAUCUUAGUAUACAAACACAAUGCAUCCCAUCUAUACAUGCACUCACAUACUACAGGAAUGUACACAUCAAACACACAUGCAUACUUGUCCACAUAUACCUCACAUCCCACAUAGGUGUGUACACUCACUUCACACAUACAUGCACAUCACGCUUGUGCAAGCCAGCUUGCCUGGAGCCUGGCCCAAGGUAACCACCUCAGGAAGAAUGGGCAAAGGGUCUUGCACUGUAGCUCAAGAGCUCCCUAAGUAGUCCGACUGACUUCAAGUACAGAACAGUCUUCCCGUCUCAGCCUCCCCAGUGUGGUGAUUACAGCCAUGAGCUACGAAGCAGUUCUACAGUUCAGGAGCCAUACAGCCAUUUCAUGAAAUGGUGAUGUUGGACCAGUUUCUAUGUGGAGCCCAGGAUGGGAUUCCUAAGUCACACACUCAUUCACUGAUUCAUUG